AUGCAAUGUCAUGAUGUCAUGAUAGAAAAUACACCGCAAGUAUCCACAAAUAGCAAACAUGGUAAGGGCACACAAGUCACACAUAUAGCCCUUAGAUUUCAGGCUGGUAAGGAGUCUAGGUACUACCCUUUUUCAGUUCAGUUGGUUCAAACCUGUCCUAGAAAUAGUAAUCGGGUUCUAGAGGAUCUCAAUAUCACUGACCACUCUCGAUCGGUCAUAAUUUCAGUUUAG